rnacentral:rRNA from 1 species
UGGGGAAUAUUGCGCAAUGGGCGAAAGCCUGACGCAGCGACGCAGCGUGAGGGAUGAAGGCCUUCGGGUUGUAAACCUCUUUCAGCGGGGACGAAGCGAAAGUGACGGUACCCGCAGAAGAAGCACCGGCUAACUACGUGCCAGCAGCCGCGGUAAUACGUAGGGUGCAAGCAUUGUCCGGAUUUAUUGGGCGUAAAGAGCUCGUAGGCGGCUUGUCACGUCGGGUGUGAAAACUUGGGGCUCAACCCCAAGCCUGCACUCGAUACGGGCUAGCUAGAGUGUUGCAGGGGAGACUGGAAUUCCUGGUGUAGCGGUGAAAUGCGCAGAUAUCAGGAGGAACACCGGUGGCGAAGGCGGGUCUCUGGGCAACUACUGACGCUGAGGAGCGAAAGCGUGGGGAGCGAACAGGAUUAGAUACCCCCGUAGUCC